UAUUGGACAAUGGGCGAAAGCCUGAUCCAGCAAUACCGCGUGUGUGAAGAAGGCCUUAGGGUUGUAAAGCACUUUCAAUUGGGAGGAAAACCUGCCGGUCAAUACCCGGUAGCUUGACAUUACCUUUAGAAGAAGCACCGGCUAACUCCGUGCCAGCAGCCGCGGUAAUACGGAGGGUGCGAGCGUUAAUCGGAAUUACUGGGCGUAAAGCGUGCGUAGGCGGUUCGUUAAGUCAGAUGUGAAAGCCCUGGGCUCAACCUGGGAACUGCAUUUGAAACUGGCGGACUAGAGUUUAGUAGAGGGGAGUGGAAUUUCAGGUGUAGCGGUGAAAUGCGUAGAUAUCUGAAGGAACACCAGUGGCGAAGGCGACUCCCUGGACUAGAACUGACGCUGAGUACGAA
rnacentral:rRNA from 1 species